ensembl:lncRNA
AGAAGUGACAUGAUAAGGAGAAGACUACAUCAGAAACAAAGUGAACUCUCACUGCUGUCCACCCAAUGGACUCUGGAUCCAGAGAAAAAUACAUUACAACUGAGCUCAUGGGGAUCCCAGCUGAAUGCUUCAGCACACAAAAACUCCAAGUUCUUCCUCAGUGGAUCGGCUAGUAUGAUUAUGGAUGAAGUUCCCCAGGGAAUCCAGCAAGAUAGCAAGCUCAGCUUAGAAUCUACCUUCUCUAAAACACCUAAGAGAUACUCCUCAGUGGUUUCUUCCCAGAUGUGUUUGCUACAAAAGAAAGAAAGGGUAAUGUUAAAAUAAUGCAUAUAUAGACCUGAGAA